rnacentral:tRNA from 1 species
UAUUAUUUUAUUUUAUAAGAUAAUAUAUAUUUUAUAUUUUAAUAUAAUAUUUAUAUUUAUAUUAAUAAUAA